GGGGGGGAGGGGGGGGGGGGAGGGGAGAGAAUUAGACCAACUACAGGAUUGGAACAGAAACAAUCGUGGAACAUAUUCUGGUCUGGUUUCAUAAUAAUGGACAGUUAGUCAGACAACUUGUCCUUAUGCUGAAACAGCCACAUGAGGGGGUCCAUGGAGAGUCAAGAUCAGCGGUUGCCUUCUCCGUCCCGGGGUCACCAUCAGAAACACGUUAGGACAACCGAAACCUAGAUUUUGUUGUACAUAAAAUAUCUUGGUGGUACUGUUCCCACCAGGUUACUGUUCCCACCAGGUUACUGUUCCCACUAUGUUACUGUUCCCACCAGGUUACUGUUCCCACCAGGUUACUGUUCCCACCAGGUUACUGUUCCCACCAGGUUACUGUUCCCACUAGGUUACUGUUCCCACCAGGUUACUGUUCCCACUAUGUUACUGUUCCCACCAGGUUACUGUUCCCACUAUGUUACUGUUCCCACCAGGUUACUGUUCCCACCAGGUUACUGUUCCCACUAUGUUACUGUUCCCACUAUGUUACUGUUCCCACCAGGUUACUGUUCCCACCAGGUUACUGUUCC
ensembl:lncRNA